rnacentral:rRNA from 1 species
AUGCGAAUCUCGAAAGCCUGUCUCAGUUCGGAUUGGAGUCUGCAACCCGACUCCAUGAAGCUGGAUUCGCUAGUAAUCGCGCAUCAGCCACGGCGCGGUGAAUACGUUCCCGGGCCUUGUACACACCGCCCGUCAAGCCAUGGAAGCCGGGAGUGCCUGAAGUGCGUGAGCGCAAGCAGCGCCCUAAGGUAAAACCGGUGACUGGGGCUAAGUCGUAACAAGGUAUC